AACGCUAGCUACAGGCUUAACACAUGCAAGUCGAACGGAUUCUGGAUUCGUCUGGAAUUAGUGGCAAACGGGUGAGUAACACGUAUCCAACCACCCUGCGACUCGGGGAUAGCCUCUUGAAAGGGAGAUUAAUAUCCGAUGUACUGUUUUUGGUGCAUGCCAUUUUCAGUAAAGUUUUUUACGGUCGCUGACGGGGAUGCGUUCCAUUAGAUAGUCGGUGUGGUAACGGCUCACCGAGUCUAUGAUGGAUAGGGGUUCUGAGAGGAAGGUCCCCCACAUUGGAACUGCGAAACGGUCCAAACUCCUACGGGAGGCAGCAGUGAGGAAUAUUGGUCAAUGGGCGAAAGCCUGAACCAGCUAUGUAGCGUGAAGGAUGACUGCCCUAUGGGUUGUAAACUUCUUUUGUUCGGGAAUAACAGACUUCACUUGUGGAGUUUUGCAUGUACCGUUCGAAUAAGGAUCGGCUAACUCCGUGCCAGCAGCCGCGGUAAUACGGAGGAUCCUAGCGUUAUUCGGAUUUAUUGGGUUUAAAGGGAGCGUAGGCGGGGGGUCAAGUCAGCUGUGAAAUACGUACGCUUAACGUUCGUCUUGCAGUUGAAACUGGUCUUCUUGAGUGCGUAUGAGGCAGGCGGAAUUCGUGGUGUAGCGGUGAAAUGCUUAGAUAUCACGAAGAACUCCGAUUG
rnacentral:rRNA from 1 species